UACGAAGGGGGCUAGCGUUGUUCGGAUUUACUGGGCGUAAAGCGCAUGUAGGCGGGUCGUUAAGUUCGGGGUGAAAUACCGAGGCUCAACCUCGGAACUGCCCUCAAGACUGGCGGCCUGGACCCAAGUAGAGGCGAGUGGAAUUCCGAGUGUAGAGGGGAAAUUCGUAGAUAAUCGGAGGAACCGCAGUGGGGAAGGCGACUCGCUGGACUUGUGGUGACGCUGAGAUGCGAAAGCGUGGGGAGCAAACAGG
rnacentral:rRNA from 1 species